CGCGGCCUAUCAGCUUGUUGGCGGGGUAAUGGCCCACCAAGGCGACGACGGGUAGCUGGUCUGAGAGGAUGGCCAGCCACAUUGGGACUGAGAGACGGCCCAGACUCCUACGGGAGGCAGCAGUGGGGAAUCUUGCGCAAUGGCCGAAAGGCUGACGCAGCGACGCCGCGUGUGGGAGGACGCCUUUCGGGGUGUAAACCACUGUUGCCCGGGACGAACAGCCCUUUUCGAGGGGUCUGACGGUACCGGGUGAGGAAGCACCGGCUAACUCCGUGCCAGCAGCCGCGGUAAUACGGAGGGUGCGAGCGUUGUCCGGAAUCAUUGGGCGUAAAGGGCGCGUAGGUGGCGCGGUAAGCGUGCGGUGAAAGCCUGGGGCUCAACCCCGGGUCGGCCGUGCGAACUGCUGGGCUUGAGCACUGUAGAGGCAGGCGGAAUUCCGGGUGUAGCGGUGGAAUGCGUAGAGAUCCGGAAGAACACCGGUGGCGAAGGCGGCCUGCUGGGCAGUUGCUGACACUGAGGCGCGACAGCGUGGGGAGCAAACAGGAUUAGAUACCCUGGUAGUCCACGCCGUAAACGAUGGGCACUAGGCGCUUGGGGGAGCGACCCCCCGAGGGCCGGCGCUAACGCAUUAAGUGCCCCGC
rnacentral:rRNA from 1 species